GCGCCUGUGGCUCAAAGGAGUAGGGCGCCGGCCCCAUAUGCCGGAGGUGGCGGGUUCAAACCCAGCCCUGGAACA
rfam:Otolemur garnettii contig085293, whole genome shotgun sequence.